rnacentral:rRNA from 1 species
AACUUGGCGGAUUGUCCAUUACAGAAUGGCUGGCCUCCUCCGGGAGUGCAUGUGCACGUCUGUCAUUUCUAUCUUACCACCUGUGCACACUUUGUAGAUCUGACGGACUUUGUCUGUGGUUUUUGGGAGCUGUCUUCGGACUCUUUUCAGGUUUAUGUUUUUACAUCUACACCAGAGGCAUCUUCUAGCAUGUAAAAGAAUGAAUCUAUGGCAGCCUCGUGCCCCUGGCCUAGCCUAUAAAACUAGUACAACUUUCAGCAACGGAUCUCUUGGCUCUCGCAUCGAUGAAGAACGCAGCGAUGCGCUCCUUGGUAUUCCGAGGAGCAUGCCUGUUUGAGUGUCAUUAAAUUCUCAACCAUCCUGAAGUCGCGGACACGUUGGAUGUGGGGACUUGCCAGCGCUUAUUCUAUAAGACUUGGCUUCCCUUAAAUGUAUUAGCUAGAGCGCUUCUGUUGACUAGCCGCUAGUGUGAUAAUUAUCUACACUGUGACCAGCCAGCCUUUGAAACGAAGGAACUCUGCUUCUAACCGGACAAUCUAUAUAACUUGACCUCAAAUCAGGUAGGACUACCCCUUAAGCAUAUGCUGAA